UCCCUUUUCUUUGGCUCCUUUGCCUUUACUUAGAUGCAUUUGGUUUAAAAAUAUUUAUUGUCUAUUGUGUGUUAGAGACUAUGCAAGAUUCUAGGAAUACAGACAAGGAUCUACAAACCUCGAGGAGUCACAAGUAUCUGAGGAGACAAGGACGCCCUGUGUCACCAGCCAUGUCAUGAGUGCCUUGUAAGAAAACACUAUGGGUACCCUGUAAUAUUGAAGAAGCUAAAGGAGAGCUAAGGAACAAAAGUCACAAGACCGAAUUAACCACAAAUAAUUGCAUGCCAAAAGAAGCUGCUUUCUUCUUCCCUGAUCUUUAAAAGGCAUGCCUGAGGAAUAUUGUGGGUUCCAUUCCAGACCACCGCAGUAGAGGGAAUCACACAUUUUUCAGUUUCCCAGUUAUGAAAACAUACUGGUUCCCACAUUAAUUGGAAUGCUAUUCAGCCAUGUAAAAGAAUGAAAUUUUGCCAUCUGCAACA